rnacentral:lncRNA from 1 species
GGGCUCAUCUGUUCACGGGGGCAAAAGGGUGGAAGUGAGUAGGAGACAUGCAUCUCGUUAAGCAGGACAUCUGUUUCAGAGAAGAAGUGGGGCAAGUUUGGGAACUGUGCAAGAACAUAAAGGCAAAGACAGACCCUUGAAGCAUCACUAAGGUGGAUCAAAUUUUCUUUCUAUCCGCCAAAAUAAAUGGACUGGUUUUUGCAGUGGAAGUGAUUGAACCAAAAAUACAGCUCAUGGCUUACAAUUGUGCUUUCUUCUCUGUUUUUCGGUUAGAAUGAUUGCUUAUUGUACAUGGAUCCAAUUCCAGCAGUUACAGAGAGGGAGGUAGGGAGAGAGACAAACACAGAGCUAGAGAAAUUGAAAGAGAAACAUUCUCGAAGGCAAAGAGUUGAAAGGUGAAUCUACUAAGAAAAGAAUAACAGAGUGCAAUUAGCCAUGGAACUACAUCUCCAUCUGCCUCCUUUAAAGGAUGAGUCCUUUAAAGAGCCUUUGGAAGGAAUUGGGCCAUGAGAAGAGCCCUCAUGAAUGGGAUUAGUUCCCUUAUAAGAAGAGACACCAAGGAAGUGAUCUUUCUCUGCCCUCUGCUAUGUGAAGACAAGGUCAUCUGCAGUUUUUUGUUGUUGUUGAUGAUCUUCCUGUCAUAGACAAUGCUGUAACAAACAGACUAUCCACAGGUUUUCUACUUUUUUGAGCUAAAUCGUGAUGAAGCAGAUGAUAAUCUGAGGCUCGCCUGCUAUAUUGUGAAAAUCCCUCUGUGCUUGUAAUAAAGGCUUCAUCUCCACAAGACCUAAA